CGCCGCGACCCACCUGCCCUGGCUUGACCGCGGAGGCGGGUGGCGAAGAAGAGAAGGACGGCGAGCAGCACGGCAGCGGCGGCGAGCAGAACCGCGUCCAUCCCGCAGCGCCGGCCCCGCCCACAUCACCCUUGGUCUCUGCUCCUGACACGCUGCUGGCCAGGCAGCUCCAGCUUCAUCCCAUUCCCAUAUUCCAGUGUCCUGACCUGGCCUGAGCCAAAUGUGCACAAAAAUACGGAGAAACUUGCACUGGAGAUGGAGAAGAAAUUUCCCCCCCUUUGCACGGUCACCACUGUUAGAUCUGAAACUUUUUCAGGCUCUGCCCCAAUCCUGAGUGAGGAGAGAAAUGUUUUAAGCUUUACCCAUUUUUACUUUGUGGUUGUGAAGUUCUGGCUGAUCAAGCCCUUUCGUGCUUCAGAAAUGCUUUCAGCGUGACUGUUUAAAGCACUCUUGGUGGGGGAAAGUGUUUUAAUAAAUUGAAAAUGCAAA